AGGCAGGGUCUCACUCCAUUGCCCAGGGCUGGAGUAUAGUGGCAUGAUCACAGCUCACUGCAGCUUUGACUUCCUGAGCUCAAGGGAUUUUCGUCCUUCAGCUUCCCAAAUAGUUGGAACUGCAGGUUCUCUUAGAAGCACAAGAUAUGGCAGUGAGAGACCAUAACGUGGAAUUCAGGUCCAAUUUAUAUAUAGCUGAGUCCACCUCAGGACGAGGCCAGUACCUGAAACGCAUCCGCUACCAUGGCAGAGGUCGCUUUGGGAUCAUGGAGAAGGUUUAUUGCCAUUAUUUUGUGAAGUUGGUGGAAGGGCCCCCACCUCCACCUGAGCCACCAAAGAUGGCAGUUGCCCAUGCCAAAGAGUAUAUUCAGCAGCUUCGCAGCCGGACCAUCAUUCACACUCUAUGAGGAGAUUCAGACUCCACGGUGUAUAUAUUUUGCCAUUUAUUUUCUAAAAAUAAACAAAAAUUGAAGACAAA
rnacentral:sRNA from 1 species